GAACGCGAAGAACCUUACCUACUCUUGACAUCCAUAGAACAUUUGAGAAAUCAGAUGGUGCCUUCGGGAACUAUGAGACAGGUGCUGCAUGGCUGUCGUCUAGCUCUGUGUUGUGAAAUAGUUGGGUUAAGUCCCGUAACGAGCGCAACCCUUAUCCUUAUUUGCCAGCACUUCGGGUGGGAACUUUAAGGAGACUGCCGGUGACAAACCGGAGGAAGGUGGGGACGACGUCAAGUCUAUCAUGGCCCUUACGAGUAGGGCUACACACAGUGCUACAAUGGCGUAUACAGAGGGCUGCAAACUUGCGAGAGUAAGCGAAUCCCUACAAAGUACGUCGUAGUCCGGAUUGGAGUCUGCAACUCGACUCCAUGAAGUCGGAAUCGCUAGUAAUCGUGGAUCAGAAUGCCACGGUGAAUACGUUCCCGGGUCUUGUACACACC
rnacentral:rRNA from 1 species